GGACGUUACUAACGACGAUAUGCUUUGGGGAGCUGUAAGUAAGCUUUGAUCCAGAGAUUUCCGAAUGGGGAAACCCAGCAUGAGUUAUGUCAUGUUAUCGAUAUGUGAAUACAUAGCAUAUCAGAAGGCACACCCGGAGAACUGAAACAUCUUAGUACCCGGAGGAAGAGAAAGAAAAUUCGAUUCCCUUAGUAGCGGCGAGCGAAACGGGAAGAGCCCAAACCAACAAGCUUGCUUGUUGGGGUUGUAGGACACUCUAUACGGAGUUACAAAGGACGACAUUAGACGAAUCAUCUGGAAAGAUGAAUCAAAGAAGGUAAUAAUCCUGUAGUCGAAAAUGUUGUCUCUCUUGAGUGGAUCCUGAGUACGACGGAGCACGUGAAAUUCCGUCGGAAUCUGGGAGGACCAUCUCCUAAGG
rnacentral:rRNA from 1 species